rnacentral:ncRNA from 31 species
GUUUCCGUAGGUGAACCUGCGGAAGGAU